AUGACAUUAAACCAAAGCUUAUAUGUAGUCUUGGCCAAUUGUCAUGCGCCACGAAUAAAAGGGGGAAAAGAGAGAGAUGUGCUUGCAAGGGCCAUUACAUUGGCAAUUGGACCAUGGGACCAUGGCUUGUUUUGGUUUUUGUCUAACGAGCUUGCGUCAAAUCACAUCGUUGUGGCUCAUUGCGCAAGUGACAACUUUUCCUCUAAUUUUUGGGCCAUUGUGGAAGGGAUAGCUUUCUUAUCCCUGUAUGUACCUUCCACUAAAAAUAUAUCUGCCUUCCAUUUUGUGAAAUCACAUUUGCAUGAACUAAAAGGUGUCCCUGUAUGA
rnacentral:rRNA from 1 species